UCUAUUUAACAAGUAUCCCAU
rnacentral:piRNA from 1 species